rnacentral:rRNA from 1 species
AGUGGCGAACGGGUGAGUAACACAUCGGAACGUGCCCAAUCGUGGGGGAUAACGUAGCGAAAGCUACGCUAAUACCGCAUACGAUCUACGGAUGAAAGCGGGGGAUCGCAAGACCUCGCGCGAAUGGAGCGGCCGAUGGCAGAUUAGGUAGUAGGUGGGGUAAAGGCUCACCAAGCCGACGAUCUGUAGCUGGUCUGAGAGGACGACCAGCCACACUGGGACUGAGACACGGCCCAGACUCCUUCGGGAGGCAGCAGUGGGGAAUUUUGGACAAUGGGCGCAAGCCUGAUCCAGCAAUGCCGCGUGCAGGAUGAAGGCCUUCGGGUUGUAAACUGCUUUUGUACGGAACGAAACGGUGAGCUCUAAUACAGUUUGCUAAUGACGGUACCGUAAGAAUAAGCACCGGCUAACUACGUGCCAGCAGCCGCGGUAAUACGUAGGGUGCAAGCGUUAAUCGGAAUUACUGGGCGUAAAGCGUGCGCAGGCGGUUAUGUAAGACAGAUGUGAAAUCCCCGUGCUUAACCUGGGAACUGCAUUUGUGACUGCAUAGCUAGAGUACGGUAGAGGGGGAUGGAAUUCCGCGUGUAGCAGUGAAAUGCGUAGAUAUGCGGAGGAACACCGAUGGCGAAGGCAAUCCCCUGGACCUGUACUGACGCUCAUGCACGAAAGCGUGGGGAGCAAACAGGAUUAGAUACCCUGG